CUGUUUGUAUGAAAAUGUGCUAUAUAAAUAAAUGUUGUUGUUGUUGAAAGCUAUAACAAGUCUACUGUUUGGCUUUUUUCUAAUCUCCUUAAACAGUGAAUGUUUUUCAAAAUCUACCAUAUGUGUUGUAUAAGUUUUAUACAUUAUAUUAACAUGCAGUAUUUCUAUAUUCUUCUCAAUCUUAACUUUUUCACAUGAAGAAAUUUCCCGGUUAAAUAUUGCAGUGUUAUUUAACGCCACAAUUGCAUGCACUAAUGCCCAGAGGUCAUAUGGGUGUGUGUGUUUUUUUUGUUUUUUUUAUUUCCUUUUCUUUUGUUGCUAAGCCUACUUCCUUGUACAGAACAAACUGGAACUUUUUUAGAUUAGACGUCACUAUUGCAGUUUCUGAACAUUCUGAAUAAAAAUGGAUAUAUCUACAAUCAGGUGGGGCGUAACCGAAUACACUUUAAAGGAUUUUGUAAAUAAGUUUGAGAAUUCCUUUCCAAAAAUAAUUAAAGUGACAGAAGGUUUUUUGGGGCGACAGGAGUUGGACAGCAUCAGUUCAAGCACAAUUCUACGUGUCCACUCACUUUAUUCUCAAGACAGAGCUGUUGUUGAAAGCAUAUCUGGAAAAAUAUUUUCUCUGCCUGCCAAAAUGAAGCAAGUGUUGUUCCUUGUCAUAAGACCUAUUGGAAAGCCAGAGGGACCUUUUAAUCUGUUGAAAAUUCUGGAGGAAAAUGUUUUACCUGUCACCAUAAGGCCUACACAACCAUUAACCUUCCAGGAAAUGAACAAUCCUACCAGUGCUUGCCACAGGGUGGAACUGCUAACUGUUACUCAAGUCUUCAAGGAAACAUUUUUGCUGGGCCACAGUAUUAAUAGCAAAGGCUUCUUAGAAGUGCAGACACCAUUGGUUCUUCCAAUGUAUAUGAAACAAGUGCGUCUAGCCUUGGCAGAGGGCUUGGAAGAUGAUAAUGAAGAGAAAUGGGAUGCAGCCUGCACAGAAUACAGCCAGACAGUACAGCAGAAAGCAAACAUGGGUCACUUCAUCUUUGAAGAGAUUUCCUUACUCGAUAAGCAAGAAAUAAUGAAACAUAGGAAUAUGUAUUCAGAGGUUGAGCCCAUUUACAUGGAUCUCAACAAAGAGUUGAAAAAACCAACCCCACCACCCUUGCCUGAGAAGAAUGUAGCUUGCAAGUUUUUUAGAUUUGCUGAUGUGCCCAAAGAUCUACAUGAGGCCAGCGUGGAUGAAAUAUGUGACUGCCUUUUGCUACUCAAUUUAAACCAGUAUGUUCAAUCAUUCCGCACAGAACAAAUUGAUGGACAAUUUUUGUAUGACCUGGAUGAGGCCUUAAUGCAAGAAAAUCUGGGAAUGAGUAAACUUCAUGUAGCCAAGCUAUUACGCUUCAGAGAUGGCUGGAGACCCCGACUAGAGGAAAGCAUUUAGCUGGGUACAUACAUCCUAACACCAACCCCCAUGAAUUCCCUGCAAGUUGGAGGACUGCUUACAGGGCCAGAAGGACUGUGGGAAGAAGCUCCUUCUCAGUCUCAUGAACUGGACUUCAAGCAGUACCAUUUACUUGGCUGCAGCACCAAAAAGAAGCCAUUGCUCGGAUGGCUAGUGUCACAGAUAAUUUUCUUUACCCUGGGCUUUCAACUGACCGCACUACUUUCUACAAAUCCUUGCAAUCCAGCUGUGUACUUAUUCUAAACCAGGUGGUUAUACUUUUUUCCAUGAUACUUCCAAUGUUGGAUGAGUAAAAGUUCUUUAGUAUCUGGGUGGGCAGCCCUGAAAUCCCAGAGGCAUAUGAGGUUAUAAAGAUGUUGCUCUGUCUUCUUCACUAAGGUGACGAUGUGCUUGAGCAGGCCAGUUGCCCUGUGAUGUGGAUACCAAGGUAUUUAAAACUGUCCACCAUCUCCACCUGAGUACUGUUAAUAAUAAAGGGGGUGGUGAUGUUGUUUUCUCCCGAAGUCCACAAUCAGCUCCUUUGUCUUGCUGACAUUAAGUACUGAAAUGUUGUCCUGGCACCAGUGUGACAGAUUCUACUUCAUACAGGUAAGCUCAGUCAUUUUUGUUAAAUAUCAGGCCUACCACAGCUGAGUCACCAGCACACUUAAUGAUAUUAGAGUUACAUGCAGCAAUACAUCAUAUAUGUAGAGGGAGUACAGCAGAGGACUCAGAACAUAGCCCUGUAAAGCACUUAGAACAUAGAGCUUUGGAAUACCUCUGUUGACAUUGAGAGAUGAUAAGGUGUGGCCACCUACUCAAAGAACCUGGGAUCUGCGUGUCAGGAAGUUAAAAAUCCAGCUCUACAAUGAAAUGCUCAGAUAUAGGUCCCUUCAUUUUGUGAUGCGUUUAGGGGGAUUUAUUGUGUUAAAUGCAGAGCUAUAGUACAGUAUAUAGCAUUCACUUAUCAUUUCCUCCAUUGUUUUCCUGGUGGGCUAGUACUAUACGAAGGAUGAAGAUGACUGAAUUCUGAGUGGACCAACUGGAGUGAUAUGUGAACUGUAAUGAAUGCAGUUCUUUUGGCAAAGGAGUGCAUAAGUGAUUUUUGACUAGCCUCUCAAAACACUUCUGUGCGACAGAACAAUAUUCAUUCAGGCAGGUUGGAUGUGAUUUCUUAGUUACAGGGACAAUGAUAGAUCUUUUAAAGCAUGUUGGUAUGACAGAGUUAAGGAGAGUUUAUAUAUUACCAUAAACACUGAUGCAAGCUGAUCAAUACUUAUCUUGAAAACACAACAUGCAAUCAUGGUGUUCACUUUUCUGAAAACUCUCUUUACGUUGUGUUCCGACAAGGUGAGCCCUGUUACUUCACUGAGCUGUUCUCCCGCCACAGAUGUGUUGGACUGCUGGCUAGCAUUAGUAGCAUUCAUAGUGAAAUGUGCAUAGAAAUUAUUACGCUCAUCUGCCAUAGAGGUGUUGGAGAGAGCAUAAGGAAUAUCACUGAUAGAGUAAAUAACUAAUACAGUUAAAUUUUGUACAGUAUAUUAUUGCAUCAUGCAAAAUGUACAUCUGAUGAUAAUAACUCAGAUAAAACAUUAUAUGCCCUUAUAUAUAGAGUUCUUCUAGCUGUUACUUUGAAAGAUGUCAAAGGUUAUCCUGUAUGCUUUGAACCCUGUAUUGCCCCUUAAUGACAUGCCAAAACAGAUGAAAGGUUAAUUAUUUUCAUGAGCAUCCACUCUUUGAAUGGUAGCUUAACCUGUUCAAAUUUGAUACCCUGGAAAUUUGGCCUGUACAUUUGCAAAUAUGUACCUGGCAUCUGAAGGCAUUUAUCUGAAAUAACUUACAAGGGAUGAAAUCUAGCUGAGUAACCAUCUGUCAGGAUAUAUAUGUCUAAAAGGGCCAGACAACAAGCUACCUAAAUAAGCAAAAGCAAGAGGGAAAUGAGGGAAUUAACAAAGUACUAUACAAUGGAAUAUUUCACUAUACAGCAGCUUUAUUACACUUAUAAAGAAGUACACUGUCAUUAUUUUCUAUUAUAUGUGGUCAAAGUGUAGUGCUUGCCAGUGCACCUGAUGCACUGAGGGGCAGCAGAACAGCUCAAGUAAUGGGAGAGGAGACACCUGCUCACCUUAAUGCUCAGGCUCCUGUAAUAAAUAUUUCCAUCUUUUUCUUUUUCUCAUUAUCACCAUAUUACUAUUAUUAUGAUUGAACACAUAUGUAGAGGAAAUGUGUGUCUUGUUUUAUGUGUAUGACAGAAAGGAUGGUAAAGCCUUGAAUGAAACUCAGUAUUGAUGAUAAGUGACAAAUGACAGAAGGUGCUUGCAUUGAGUAACUUGACAUGUAAGAGACAGGAGAACGUUAAAUGUGUCAAUGACUGGGAGUACAUAACUGGAAGAUGGGUUAAGAUUGCAAAAAGGAUAACAGCUCAGUCUUUCAUUAAUUAUAUUAAUAUAAAUUAUUUAUUCUGCUGUGCUGCAGUUUGGACGACUUCGUAUUUAAUGUUCUCUCCCCUGCCUUUGACGAGAUGCAUUCAGAAGACAAUGAUGUUGCCAGCAAAGUCAGGUGCCUUUUUGAUAGUAUGGUUCUAGAUGUGCUUAUCCAGUGGCCUCUUCUUGCCAGUUACUGAGCGAUCCCUACAUCUACCUCUGUGUGAAUCGCAAAGUUUCUUCUCAACCUUUUUUGUGCCUUUAACUCAGAAGUCCCAAGGCUUCUACAAAUUACAGAAGAUACUGUCAAUAGCACUGAUUCUAUUUGAAAGACAAUUGUAAUUAAUUAUGCAGAAGACACUUUUAUUCAUAUUACUUUUGGAAAUGAACAUAUUACAUAUCAACUACAAAAUAUCCUCAGUAAUUUGAUCAAAAUUCUAUGUAGACAUGACUCCACACCAAGGAACAAGGUGUCACACAAGAAUCUUUCAUAAUGUCUUAUAUUUCAAAUAUUUGUUAACUUAUAAAUAAGUACAGUAUUACAUAACUAUUUUUUAAAAUGUCUUUAAUUUUGCUUAAACAGUACUUAUGGAACUAUGGGGAUAUGCAGAUGGGGAAGGGCCACUGUUUUUACUUUUGAGACAGGGAAGAAAAACCAACUGGUUGACCAAAUCGGUCUCUGACCUUGUGGAUGUCCAUGACAUCAUGCUGCUAGCACGCUUCAAUAUCACAUGACGGGUGCAUUCGAAACAAGCCUCAAAGCGGCACUUUGAACAUCAGCGGUUCUAAAGCUCGUCCCAGUGUCAACAUGUCAGUAUGGAGUGGCCCAUCACUAUUUGUCUUUUUUGUUCAUUUUGUGUCCUUUUGUUUAUGCUAAUAUUACUAAUUAUGUUUAUUGUUUGCAUUAUUCUGUAUGUAAAUUAGUUUGUGCAUUAUUUAAUUUCUAUGUGUUAAUGCUUUUUCCAUGUUCCUUGUAUUUUAUGAUUGGUUGCCCAAAAGGUGGGGGCCACCUGUCCAUCACCAUCAAGGAAGUGUCCCAUCUUUAUAAAGGCAAGGGGAAUACAGAGUUCCUUGUAGUACAUUGUAUAUGCAUCAUGAUGCUCCAACAAUGAUGGAUGGAU